AUUGAACGCUGGCGGCAGGCUUAACACAUGCAAGUCGAGCGGAGCGAGGGUGCUUGCACCUUAGCUUAGCGGCGGACGGGUGAGUAAUGCUUAGGAAUCUGCCUAUUAGUGGGGGACAACAUUCCGAAAGGGAUGCUAAUACCGCAUACGCCCUACGGGGGAAAGCAGGGGAUCUUCGGACCUUGCGCUAAUAGAUGAGCCUAAGUCGGAUUAGCUAGUUGGUGGGGUAAAGGCCUACCAAGGCGACGAUCUGUAGCGGGUCUGAGAGGAUGAUCCGCCACACUGGGACUGAGACACGGCCCAGACUCCUACGGGAGGCAGCAGUGGGGAAUAUUGGACAAUGGGGGGAACCCUGAUCCAGCCAUGCCGCGUGUGUGAAGAAGGCCUUUUGGUUGUAAAGCACUUUAAGCGAGGAGGAGGCGCUCUAGGAUAAUACCCUAGAUGCGUGGACGUACUCGCAGAAUAAG
rnacentral:rRNA from 1 species